rnacentral:rRNA from 1 species
CAGUCGACGAGUAGCAAUACUUAGUGGCAGACGGGUGAGUAACAUGUGGGUAUCUACCCUUUGGCCUGGAAUAACACGAGGAAACUUGUGCUAAUACCGGAUAAGUCUUUACGGAGAAAGCUUUAUGCACCAUUGGAUGAGCCCGCACUUGAUUAGUUUGUUGGUAGGGUAAUGGCCUACCAAGACUAUGAUCAAUAGCUGAUUUGAGAGGAUGAUCAGCCACAUUGGGACUGAGACACGGCCCAAACUCCUACGGGAGGCAGCAGUGGGGAAUCUUGCACAAUGGAGGAAACUCUGAUGCAGCGAUGCCGCGUGAGUGAAGAAGGCCUUUGGGUUGUAAAGCUCUUUCGUCGGGGAAGAAAAUGACUGUACCCGAAUAAGAAGGUCCGGCUAACUUCGUGCCAGCAGCCGCGGUAAUACGAAGGGACCUAGCGUAGUUCGGAAUUACUGGGCUUAAAGAGUUCGUAGGUGGUUGAAAAAGUUGGUGGUGAAAUCCCAGAGCUUAACUCUGGAACUGCCAUCAAAACUUUUCAGCUAAAGUAUGAUAGA